rnacentral:SRP_RNA from 10 species
GCCGGGCAUGGUGGCAUGUGCCUGUAGUGCCAGCUACUCAGGAGGCUAAGGCAGGAGGAUCACUUGAGUCCAAGAGUUCUGGGUUGUAAUGCACUAUGUCUAUCAGGUGUUUGCACUAAGUUCAGCAUCAACAUAGUGACCUCCCGGGAGUGGGAGGUUGCCUAUGAACCAGCCCAGGUUGGAAAUGGAGAAGUUCAAAACUCCCAUGCUGAUCGGUAUUGGGACUGUACCUGUGAAUAGCCACUGCACUCCAGACUGGGCAACACAGCGAGACCCUGUCCCU